CAGGACGUAGCUAAAAGAAUAGCAUCUCCCUUACACCGAGAAGUUGCCUGUGCAAUUCAGGUCGACCUGA
rnacentral:tRNA from 1 species